AUUGAACGCUGGCGGCAGGCCUAACACAUGCAAGUCGAACGAGUGGCGGACGGGUGAGUAAUGUCUGGGAAACUGCCUGAUGGAGGGGGAUAACUACUGGAAACGGUAGCUAAUACCGCAUACCAUCAGAUGUGCCCAGAUGGGAUUAGCUUGUUGGUGGGGUAACGGCUCACCAAGGCGACGAUCCCUAGCUGGUCUGAGAGGAUGACCAGCCAAACUGGAACUUGGACACGGUCCCAAAUCCUAAGGGAGGCAACAGGGGGGGAUGUUGGCAAAUGGGGGGAAGCCCGGUUGAAGCAAGCCGGGGGUAAGAAAGAGGCCCUUGGGUUGGAAAGUUCUUUCAGCGGGGAAGCGUUACCCGCAGAAGAAGCACCGGCUAACUCCGUGCCAGCAGCCGCGGUAAUAC
rnacentral:rRNA from 1 species